ACCGAAAUAGCUCAGUUGGGAUAGUGUUGGCCUAUACAUAGAUCGAAAAGUCCUUGGUUCAAUCCCGGAUAUCGGCA
rnacentral:tRNA from 1 species